rnacentral:rRNA from 1 species
ACGAACGCUGGCGGCGUGCUUAACACAUGCAAGUCGAACGGUGAACCCUCUUCGGAGGGGGAUCAGUGGCGAACGGGUGAGUAACACGUGAGCAACCUGCCCCCAACUCUGGGAUAACUCCGGGAAACCGGAGCUAAUACCGGAUAUGAAGCACUCGGGCAUCCGAUGUGCUUGGAAAGAUUUAUCGGUUGGGGAUGGGCUCGCGGCCUAUCAGCUUGUUGGUGGGGUAACGGCCCACCAAGGCGACGACGGGUAGCCGGCCUGAGAGGGCGACCGGCCACACUGGGACUGAGACACGGCCCAGACUCCUACGGGAGGCAGCAGUGGGGAAUAUUGCGCAAUGGGCGAAAGCCUGACGCAGCGACGCCGCGUGAGGGACGAAGGCCUUCGGGUUGUAAACCUCUUUCAGCAGGGAAGAAGCGAAAGUGACGGUACCUGCAGAAGAAGCACCGGCUAACUACGUGCCAGCAGCCGCGGUAAUACGUAGGGUGCAAGCGUUGUCCGGAAUUAUUGGGCGUAAAGAGCUCGUAGGCGGUCUGUCGCGUCUGCUGUGAAAACUCGGGGCUUAACCCCGGGCCUGCAGUGGGUACGGGCAGACUAGAGUGCGGUAGGGGAGACUGGAAUUCCUGGUGUAGCGGUGAAAUGCGCAGAUAUCAGGAGGAACACCGGUGGCGAAGGCGGGUCUCUGGGCCGUAACUGACGCUGAGGAGCGAAAGCAUGGGGAGCGAACAGGAUUAGAUACCCUGGUAGUCCAUGCCGUAAACGUUGGGCGCUAGGUGUGGGGCUCUUUCCACGAGUUCCGUGCCGCAGCUAACGCAUUAAGCGCCCCGCCUGGGGAGUACGGCCGCAAGGCUAAAACUCAAAGGAAUUGACGGGGCCCGCACAAGCGGCGGAGCAUGCGGAU